CACAGAAGCCAAGACAGCAGAUGAAGGGAGACUGCUGGAACAAGAGAGUCAGGGCUUGAAAAUCCAGGCUUUAAAGCAUAGCAUGAAGAUAAGCUCAGACAUCUGCCUUGUUCAGAAAGUAAGUCUUCUCUCUGUUGGUAAAGCCCAACAACAAAAGUCCAUCAGGUGCAAACCACAUAUAUGGUAGAGGACUUUCAUGUAAAAUAUGCAAAGAACUCUUAAAACCCGACAAUGAGGGGAAAAAAAACAAUUAAAAGCCGAGCAAAAGAUCUGAACAGACACCUCACAAAAAGAUGUACAGAUAAUAUAAACAUAUGAAAAGGGGCUCACUAUCAUAUACCAGUAGGGAACUGUGAAUUAAAACAGUAAUAUACCAUUCCACAUCUACUAAAAUGGCUAAAUUCCAGAACACUGGCAACACUACGUGCUGAUGAGAAAGUGGAGCAACAGGAACUCACUUGUAUUGUUGAUGUGACUGCAAAUUAAAUGGUACAGCCACCUUGGAAGAGUUUAA